rnacentral:rRNA from 1 species
AUGGAGCAUGGAACAUAUACAUCAGCAGUUCAUGUUCACUCCUUAAAUGGUCAUUCAGAGAAGCAUGUAGCCUGCUGCAAAAAUAUAAUAAUGGCUCAUCCAAGCGAUGGUGGCAGCGGCGGCCGCCGGUGCUUAGCCCGUCUCCUCCAGCCACGGCCGGCCGCCUCUUGCCGCCUCCUCGGGUCGUCGCAUCGCCUCCUCGGGUCGCCUUCGCCUCCUUGGGUCUUCAUCGCCUCCUCUAAUCCUCUUGCUUGGGUCGCUGUCGCCUCCUCUUGCUCCAACUCGAUGUCGGCGUCAGCUUCAGCGGCGGCGAACCAGCAGCCAGGCGGUGUUGUGUCAAGCACAGCAUCAAUAGCUACACAGGGAGAAGGAGCACAUGUUGUUCCUAGAUCAAAAGAUCCAGCAUGGAAAUAUUGCACAUGUCCGGACAUCAGCAAGAAGAACUGUCUAAAAUGCAUAUUCUGCGGUCAUUUGUCCAGCAAUGGCACUAGUCGAAUCAAAUUGCACCUUUCAUGCAUUCCUAAGUCUGGUGUGGAUCACUGUGAGAAAGUGCCAGCUGAUGUCAAAGAGGAGAUCCUUCAGUACUUGACAAAGAAGGGUGACAAAAAGGCAGCCAAGCUUAUGGAGCAGAAGAGAUGCAGAAAUAGAGUUGACUUGAGCCACUCGGAGGGGGAAGAACAAGCUACAAGUGAUGAAGAUGGCCUAAACCAUUCUGCACUUGUGCUUCAGCCAUCGAGAUCAACAAGAAAUAAAUCUAAAUCUUCAAGUGGCCCUAUGGAAAAAUACUGUGAAUUAAUUCCCGAAGAGCUUGUUGCCGCAAGGAAGAGGAAACGUGUCACACUUCCCAGCUUUGACCUCAUGCUUCAGCCAAUUGGACAGUAUGGUGAGGACUUGGACGGUCCUACUCCUUAUGAAAUGGGUGGCCCAAUAUUGAAUAAGAGGAAGAAAAGAGUUCAGGAGUCCUUCAAUGCACACAAGAAGACUUGGGAGCUUACUGGAUGUACAAUCAUGACAGAUGCAUGGACCGACAUAAGAGGAAGAGGGGUAAUGAAUCUUGUAGUUCAUAGUGCUCAUGGUGUGGUGUUUGUUAAUUCUGUGGACUGUUCAGCCGUGAAGAAAGAUGGGAAGUACAUCUUUGAGCUUGUUGAUAGAUGCAUAGAAGAGGUUGGUGAGAAGCAUGUGAAAGGACGUGAUUCAAACCAAAGUGUGCGCUCUGAAAUUUUUUGGACGGGAGUAGAACGUGCUGUCAACUUCUUUGAGCCUUUGGCUAAUUUGCUGCGGCGAAUGGACAGCGAUGUACCAGCUAUGGGUUUCAUAUAUGGCGCUUUUUUGGAUGCAAAGAAGGAGAUUGUAGCUAGAUUUGACAAUGAGGAGGCUAGUAUCCAGGAAGUGCUACACAUUAUUGAUAAGAGAUGGGACAACAAAUUGAAGGGGCCCCUACAUAGGGCUGGAUACUUCUUAAACCCAUACUACUACUAUGAAACAAGCUGGAGAUUGAGUUGGAUGGAACAUUUAAAGAUGGCCUUGUUGCUUGCAUGGAGAAGAUGGUUAGAGAUGGGGUCGUUUGGAAGGGACAGUGCUAAAAGGCAGCGGAGAAACAAGAACUUUGAUCCAGCUGAAUGGUGGUCCAAUCAUGGAUCAAGUGCACCAAAUCUUAGGGUACUGGCUAUGCGGAUUUUGAGCUUGACAUGCAGCUCAUCAGCUUGUGAGAGAAACUUCAGUGUUUUUCAGCAGGUUCAAGGCAGCAAAAGGCGCAACAGGCUACUUCAUGACAAAAUGAAAGAUCUUGUCCUCAUCAAGGCCAACUUCCAACUUGAACAAAAGAGAAUGAACAAAGACAGGGAUCCACUUGUGGUCAGAACACAUGCAGAUGUUGUGGAAGAUGAAGAUAACGAGUGGAUCACAGGAAUUGUGCCGGUUCCAGUUGUGGAUACUGCAGAUGAACCUGAAGAAGAACCAAUACCACAACCGAGAGCAAGAGCUGCUGCAUCAAAAAGAAAUAAAGCUCGUCAGCCUAGGAAGAAGUUGCUCCCAGUUUUUCGUGAUGAUUAG